GACGAACGCUGGCGGCGUGCUUAACACAUGCAAGUCGAACGGUAAAGCUUUGUGCUUGCAGUGUGCGCAUGAGGGGAGAACGGGUGAGUAAUACGUGUGUACUCUGCUCUUCACUGGGGUAUAAGCCGGGGAAACGGGGUCUAAUACGGUAGACGACAUUUCACCGCGUGGUGGUGUGUGGAGAGUGGUUUGCUGGUUUUGGAUGGGCUCACGGCCUAUCAGCUUGUUGGUGGGGUACUGGCUAACCAAGGCGAGGACGGGUAGCCGGCCUGAGAGGGUGACCGGCCACACUGGGACUGAGAUACGGCCCAGACUCCUACGGGAGGCAGCAGUGGGGAAUAUUGCACAAUGGGCGGAAGCCUGAUGCAGCAACGCCGCGUGCGGGAUGACGGCCUUCGGGUUGUAAACCGCUUUCGGCUGGGACGAAGCGAGAGUGACGGUAAGUGCUAAAGAAGCACCGGCUAACUACGUG
rnacentral:rRNA from 1 species